UCUCUUAGAUCUAGGAUCCUGUAGGCUCUUGUCUUUAGAACUUUCUCUCCUCGUCCCUCUUCUCAUUCUUCAAAUAAAAUAAAAUAAAAUAAAAUAAAAAUUAAUCACAAGGGAAUUGUUCUAAUCUAGAUCCUUUGAUUGCAUAUCAGAACAAUUCGAUAAAUUAGAUCCGUGUUGCGUCCUACUAAAGAUAUUAAACUUAGUACUUAUUGGGAGGCAACUCAAUUUCUUUGGAGUAGUCUUAAUAAAAGUCUGAUUGAAGACUUUAAACUGAGCGCUUCUAGGAGGUAAUCUAAUUUUUGUAUUUUACCUUUUUAGUUUGCUUAGUUUUUUUUUAAGACAGACAGUUAGAUUGAAGGGAGAACUAAAGCUUCAAGACCCAUGUUGGACUAAGAGCACAUUGAGUCAGGUGUAUUCUUUUCUCUCUUUUUGCACCCCUUAUUUUUUUUCUCCAUUGAGGAUAAUAUCGAUUAAGUUGGGGGGAGA
rnacentral:lncRNA from 1 species